rnacentral:rRNA from 1 species
GACGAACGCUGGCGGCGCGCCUUAUGCAUGCAAGUCGAACGGUCCUUCGGGACAGUGGCGGACGGCUGAGUAACGCGUAGGUAACCUGCCCAGUGGUGGGGGAUAACUCGCCGAAAGGUGAGCUAAUACCGCAUAAGUUUUCCGGCUGAAAUGCUGGUCUGGAAAGCAGCAAUGCGCCACUGGAGGGGCCUGCGUCCUAUCAGGUAGUUGGUGGGGUAAUGGCCUACCAAGCCGUUGACGGGUAGCUGGUCUGAGAGGACGACCAGCCAGAAGGGGACUGAGACACGGCCCCUACUCCUACGGGAGGCAGCAGCAAGGAAUCUUGGGCAAUGGGCGAAAGCCUGACCCAGCGACGCCGCGUGAGGGAUGAAGGCCUUCGGGUCGUAAACCUCUUUUAUCGGGGAAGAAGUUCUGACGGUACCCGAUGAAUAAGCCACGGCUAACUACGUGCCAGCAGCCGCGGUAAUACGUAGGUGGCGAGCGUUGUCCGGAUUUACUGGGCGUAAAGGGCUUGUAGGCGGUACCG